AGCUGCAGCACGAGGAGAGCCUACCUGGCUCCCACCGUUACCUGACCGAGUGACCUAGGACAGUCGCUCCUGCCACAGCCCUGGUGUGUGAGGGGGAGAUUGGAAGGGGGGAUUCUAACAACUGGAAGUCUCAAGUUACAUUUUAUUAGGCCCAUGAGAACCGUUACUACAAGCAGAAAGACCCAGGGCAGGACCCUAGUAAUUCAGAUCUAAAUAAAAUGGCAAUGCCAUAAGUGAUAGAGCUCCGUGGAAUCCAUUCUCCAAGUGUACAUGAGUAACUUGAACUCCAACAUUUUGAAGUCGUGUGACAUAUAUAAGUCCAUCAUCCCUUAGGAUAUCAUGUUCACAGGAGAGAACCAAUUAUGUAAGCUGCAAAUCAGCCUCUGCAACAAAGAUAUCUGAACAAAUGUAUAUAUGUCUGCCACUAUUCUACAGGAAAGUCUCAAGAUCUGAAAGUUGUUUUUCAUACUCCAACUCUCACCAGUAGCUGACUUACACUCGAUGAGAAUUAUUUAAAAUCUCUAUUGUAUGUCACAAAGACCAAAAUGCACAACCAAUGUAUAUAGAUCCCACAACUUCAAAAUGAAAAUGAGUAAAGAGAAAGUCUCCUGACAGAAUCUCCCCCAUGCCCUUCAUCCCUCUCCAGUCUCCCUUGACUGAUAAUUUACUAAAAAACUGUCAUCUCAUAAGGUGAGUGGAAGAAACAGCACUGAGCAUAGAACCUAAAAUGAGGCAGAGCAUCACCUGCUACCUUCUCAGCCUGCUCUGGAAAACCUGAAGAAUACUGAAUAUGACCUCAUGUCCCAGAUGGCUUUGAGAUCACCAGAACACAACUCGGGCUGAAUGUCCUAUUCAAGAGUCAUAUUCCAUUCCCUCACCACUCAUCUCACUAUCCUUGGGCUUUCUUCACUUCAUCUGUGGACUGAUCACUGAUCCAGAAGUACAACUCUCACUUGGUCAGUGGUUUGAAAAACCACUUCCUGCUCUAGAGGUUUGCUGAUAACUUACUAUAUUCUUCACAAAGCCUCUAUUUGUAUAAUGAGGGUCCCAUCAAAUGGAGCAUUAAGAUAAAUAACUCCAGAGAAGGCUUUGAGCUUUUAUAACUUCAUAUGGGGAUGAGAGAGAAAGGAUCUAUGCAUGGAAGAUAUUCAGCACAAGAACAACUAGUGGUAAAGCUGUUCAGCAGCAUUCAUCCAGUUCUUAAUGUGGCUUCUGCAAUCUCCCCAGGCUCUAGUCAUGAGUUGCCAAGGCCAUGGAAGCCCCCUGAGCUCGCCAACUUUGAUCUUAUUUCAACAAGGCCACAGUCAAAGUGGAAGUUCUCUCCUCCCUUCAGAGAAAGUUCUGACCAUGAUGGAGCAAGUUCAUUUAAGACCACUCUUCUAUUGAUUAUGUCUAUCUUCAAACAAUACAAAUGAAACUGGAUGCUCUGAAAAGUAAAGAAGAUGAGGAGGUGGAAGAGGAAGAAGGAGUUUUGAAGAGGAUAAAGUGGAAAGUCAAAACUUGAAUGCAGAUUCGUAAGAGAGUGUGUGAGUUUCAAUUUUUUUCUUUUCUAGCUUUUACCUGAAGCCACUAAGCCCCAGAAUGACACACUGAGAGUGAAAGCGAAUGUUCCAAGAGAAGCCCUCUAUUUCCAGGCUGGUUCCCUUGGUGGAGCUGUCUGUUCACCAUAGUGGAGGUGCAAACAUGUAAAAUCCUGUGUGAACACUCUCUUGCCAGAGAAACUGUGAAAAGGGAUGUGAUUGUCAAAGAAUAAAAAGGGAUCCAAUAUUAUUUCUUCUUUACUUUUCUUUCAAACUUUCAUCCUGAAAGUGGAUCCCAGUAUGUGAAAGUAUGUGACACAGGCUGGUGCCGCAGCUCAAUAGGCUAAUCCUCCGCCUGCAGAGCCAGCACCCCGGGUUCUACUCCCAGUCAAGGCGCCAGAUUCUGUCCUGGUUACUCCUCUUCCAGUCCAGCUCUCUGCUGUGGCCCGGGAGUGCAGUGGAGGAUGGCCCAGGUCUUUGGGCCUUGCACUUGCAUGGGAGACCAGGAGGAAGCACCUGGCUUCAGAUCAGCGCAGCGCACUGGCUGCAGCGCGCCUGCCAUAGAAGCCACUUGAGGGGUGAACCUACGGAAAAGGAAGACCUUUCUCUCUCUCUCUCUCUCACUGUCUAACUCUGCCUGUCAAAAAAAUAAAAAAUAAAUAAAAAUAAAAAUAAAAAUAAAAAAAGAAAGUAUGUGACAUCAUCGUUAACUAAACCCCUAGGUAGAAAUAUUCUUUUGGCCAGAAACACAAGCAAAAGAUACUUGGAGCCAUAGUGUUGAGGGAAACCCCAGAGAAGAAAGAACUGUGGAAGAGUGUUCCUAAAUUCCACAAGUGAAAAGACAUAUGUUCUGGGAUUGCACCAAACAGAAUAGUGUUAAGAAAAAUCAAUGAAGCAUCCCAAAGGUUUUGAUAAUUGAAGGCAAUGUAAGUAAGUAGCCAAUCCUUAGCCCAACAUCUAAGCGGUAGAUUACACAAACACAAAUAGCAUGAGAAAAGCUUUGAAAACUCGACAAACUCAGAAGUCAAUUUUUCCACAGAAGAACGAACAGAUCUUUCAGCCUAUAUUUAACAUGACAUUGCUUCCCAAUACAAAAUGAGAACAAAGAAAAAUAUACUCUUUGUAGAAAUUUAGAAGGUCCUUUGGUCUCAUACCAAAAUAUUCAAAAUGUCCAGGAUGUAACAUAUAAUUAUUUGACAUAAAAGGAACAAGACAAUUGAGACCCUCACCAUAAGGAAAGCACAAUCACCAGAUACAAAUCUUGAGAUAAUCCAGAUGUGAAAUCAAAUAUUCAAAGCAACUGCUAUAACCACCCUCUGAAAGGUAAAGAUGAGUUCUCUUGCAGUAAAUGGAGUCAUAGUCAUCCUCAAGAAAGAAAUACAAAAUGUAAAGAGUAACUGAGUGAAAAUUUUAGAACUAAAACAAAAAUCUAUAAAAUAAAAAAAUUCAUUGGGUGGGUUCAAUAGAAAAAUAAAGACAGAGAAAAAUUUAGUGAAUGUGAAGACAGAUCAAAAUAAAUUGUAUAAUAUAAAAAUAAAAAUUAAAUAGAGCAUAUUCAGGGACCCAUGGAACCAUAUAAAAGGUUUAAUGCUUGUACAUUAGAGCCAAAAAGAGGGGAACUAUCACCAUAGAAAAAAUAUUUGACAAAGGAAUGGCUUAAAAUGCCUACAAUUUGUUGAGAUAUACUAAAUAGUACAGAUCCAAGAAGCUUGGCAAUGCUUAAAAAGGAAAAACUCAGAAAUACAAAUGGCCAGCAAAUACAUGAAAAAAAAAAACUGCUUUGUAUCAAUAGCCAUCAGUGAAAUAAAAUAAAAACCACAAUGUGAUAUCAGCUCACUCCAGUGAGAACGGUUGCUAUCAAAAAGUCAAAAAAAUAACAAAUGUUGGUGAGGAUGGGGAUAAAAGGAAAACCUCAUACUUUAUUGGUGAGAAUCCAAAUUAGUACACCCAUUGUAGAAACCAUGUAUAGAGAUUCUUCAGAAGACUAAACAUACAUAUGUCUAUGACCCAGCUAUUCUACUUCAAAGAAAAUAUUCAAAGUAAAGUGAAUAUGAAAGAGAUACUUAAUGCCCUAUGUUUGCUGCAGCAAUAUUUACAGUAGCAAAGAUUUCCAGCUAACAUGAAUGUUCAUCAGUGGGUUACUGGAUGAAGAAAAUGUGUUAUACUUACAAAAUAGAACAUUACUCGAGCAUAAAAAAAUGGAAUCCUGACAUUUACUACAAAAUGGAUGCAAUUGGAGAUCACUGUGUUAAGUGAAAUAAGUCAGACACAGAAAGGCAAAUAACACAUGUUUCUCUCUUAUGUUAAUGUUGGAAUAUUAUUCUUUUUAUUUUGUUAUUAUUAUUUUGCCAUAUUAAUGUCACACUAUUUUGGUAUAUACAUAUUUACAUGCUACCUUCAUUGAGUUAUGCUCUUUUUAAGGUAAUAUACCUUUUUCUCUCCUUUUAUGCUUUGUGUCAUUAAUCUCACAUUAUGUGAUAUUAUUUUAUCCACCUCUGCUUCAAAAAUGGAAUGUAUGUUUAUACGUAUUUAUAAAGUUUAUAUAUGAAGCAAAUU